rnacentral:ncRNA from 2 species
UACAUACGACAGGGGAGCGCCGCUUCCCGGCUCCGGGCCAUCCGGAAGCCGGUUUUCGGGCGCUGAGAGUGCGGAACAAGCCGCAGACCCUCGAACCUGCUCCGGUUAGUACCGGCGAAGGGAGUCGAGUUCUCAGGGGU